UACAGAGGGGGCAAGCGUUGUUCGGAUUUACUGGGCGUAAAGGGCGCGUAGGUGGUUCUGUAUGUCUACCGUGAAAGCGUACGGCUCAACCGUAUUUUGUCGGUAGAAACUGCAGGACUUGAGGCUGGGAGGGGCUGGUGGAAUUCCCUGUGUAGCGGUGAAAUGCGUAGAGAUGGGGGAGAACACUCGUGGCGAAGGCGGCCAGCUAGACCAGUUCUGACACUGAGGCGCGACAGCGUGGGGAGCAAACAGG
rnacentral:rRNA from 1 species